GGGUCGUUAGCUCAGCUGGCAGAGCAGCGGACUUUUAAUCCGUUGGUCGAAGGUUCGAAUCCUUCACGACCCA
rnacentral:tRNA from 1 species